GGGGCUAUAGCUCAGUGGUAGAGUUCUUGUAUCACAUGUGUGAGGUACUGGGUUCAAUUCUCAGUACCACUA
rnacentral:tRNA from 1 species